CCUCCUACUAUGAGCAGGAGCGAGCAGCGCACCACCAUCAACCUCUCCCAUUAUGGGAGCCGAUGCUCCUACUAUGACUGACUUGAUGUGAGGACCGGCAUCCAGGAAGCGCAAACUUGGCUCUUCAUCAUCUACCGCUCCUGGGAUACCAUCGUCAACUGAAACUGUUCAGACAUCUGCUCCAGCUCCUGAUAUCCAGCCGACGACUGUCCAGAGGGUAGAAGAAACUCAAAUUUUGCCUAUCACUUCAUCGGCUGUUAGUUCUUCUGAUCCAUAUGCGCAACCAUCAGCCAAUGAGACGUUUCCCCAAAUGCCUACAUCAGGCUCAUCGGCCAUUGUUCCUUCUGUUCACUAAGAAAUCCAAUUGAAAAAAGCAUAUCUCUUUACCUCAGUCUUUUGCAUUAAUUUUAACAAUUAGUUUCUAAUCUUAUCUUUAAUCUUGCAGGCCCAAGAUUCUCCGUCCGAUAGUCUCUUCUCCUUCAAUGUUGAUGAUUUCAUGGCUGAAGACGAAGUAGGCCCUUCAAGCACAUCGACUCAACAAACAAUAGUGACACCCUUAGCCGAUGAGGUGAAGAAUCGACUUCAAGAGAUGUUGGCUUUUCUGGACUAGAAUAUAAUCGAAUUGGUUCAAGAUGCUGAGCUGAUCUGCACCAUUCUUCAAUCUGUCAGAAAUCACCUGACCCCAGAACUUGAAUCAGCCAUCAUACCUGCAGCUUUUAUUGAAGGCCAUCAAUUCCAAGUUUUUCAAGCACAACAACGCUUGGCCGAUCGAUCUGCUCAGCAAGGUAUGAUCAAUCAAAGGGACACCGGUCGACAGGAAGUUGCAGAAUUGAAGAAAAAAUCAACACCCUCGGAGAAGCCCCAGCCUAGAUCAACCAGGAACUCGAUCGACUUAGAGUCAGAGAGGCCUAGCUUCUAGAAGAACUAGAGGACGUCCGAGUCGCCAUCAACGAUCAAGAGCAGAAACUGAAUCAACUUCCAGAAACUGUCGGUAAAAUCAGAGAAGAGGUGGUCCUUAAGAUUCAUCAAGCUCGCACUCUUCAUCAAAGUAUCAAACCGAUUCCAGAAACUGUUGAAGACGAUAAUCGGAUAAUUGAUGAAAUUGACCAGAUCCGCCUGCGUGCGGUGAACGCGAUCCAGAAAACUCUAGGAUCAUUGUAAAAACUAUGCCCUUCAUCUGGUUAACUUGAAAAACUCCAUGAUGCUUAAUGAUGAACAACGUUUCUUUUUGUAAUA